CCCCUCUCAGGAUCGCACCUGGAAAGUUUCCAGUACUCUACCAGUCUCGGCUAUGGGAGGGAGAGUCAAAUAGAGGCCUACCCAUUCCGUUCCUAGCUUGACCAGAGGCUAGCGAGUGGAAAGCAAUCUGCUACAAGU